rnacentral:rRNA from 1 species
CAGCAGCCGCGGUAAUACGUAGGUGGCAAGCGUUGUCCGGAAUUAUUGGGCGUAAAGGGCUCGCAGGCGGUUUCUUAAGUCUGAUGUGAAAGCCCCCGGCUCAACCGGGGAGGGUCAUUGGAAACUGGGAAACUUGAGUGCAGAAGAGGAGAGUGGAAUUCCACGUGUAGCGGUGAAAUGCGUAGAGAUGUGGAGGAACACCAGUGGCGAAGGCGACUCUCUGGUCUGUAACUGACGCUGAGGAGCGAAAGCGUGGGGAGCGGACAGGAUUAGAUACCCCGGUAGUCCCUGUCUCUUAUAC